AACGAACGCUGGCGGCAUGCCUAACACAUGCAAGUCGAACGAGACCUUCGGGUCUAGUGGCGCACGGGUGCGUAACGCGUGGGAAUCUGCCCUUGGGUUCGGAAUAACAGUUGGAAACGACUGCUAAUACCGGAUGAUGACGUAAGUCCAAAGAUUUAUCGCCCAAGGAUGAGCCCGCGUAGGAUUAGCUAGUUGGUGAGGUAAAGGCUCACCAAGGCGACGAUCCUUAGCUGGUCUGAGAGGAUGAUCAGCCACACUGGGACUGAGACACGGCCCAGACUCCUACGGGAGGCAGCAGUGGGGAAUAUUGGACAAUGGGCGAAAGCCUGAUCCAGCAAUGCCGCGUGAGUGAUGAAGGCCUUAGGGUUGUAAAGCUCUUUUACCCGGGAUGAUAAUGACAGUACCGGGAGAAUAAGCUCCGGCUAACUCCGCG
rnacentral:rRNA from 1 species